CCCUGAAUUCAAGAGUGAUUUUGCGACACCUAUGACCUGCUCGUUGUUACUACUGAAAGAGGAUGCCAAAAGCCUUUCUCUGUGUUUCGAAGGUCCAUUUCUGUCCUUGCUAAACCUGGAGCUUUUGAACA